UACGUAGGGUGCGAGCGUUAAUCGGAAUUACUGGGCGUAAAGCGUGCGCAGGCGGUCCUUCAAGUCAGAGGUGAAAGCCCAGAGCUCAACUCUGGAAUGGCCUUUGAGACUAGAGGACUUGGGUACGGGAGAGGUGAGUGGAAUUCCGAGUGUAGAGGUGAAAUUCGUAGAUAUUCGGAAGAACACCAGUGGCGAAGGCGGCUCACUGGACCGGCAUUGACGCUGAGGUGCGAAAGCGUGGGGAGCAAACAGGG
rnacentral:rRNA from 1 species